UUAGAGUUUGAUCCUGGUUCAGGAUGACCUUUGGCGGCGUGCUUAACACAUGCAAGUCGAACGAACCUUCGGGUUAGUGGCGGACGGGUGAGUAACGCGUGGGAAUCUGCCCUCAGGAGGGGGAUAACGGUUGGAAACGACCGCUAAUACCCCAUAUGCCGAGAGGUGAAACGAAAUUCGCCUGAGGAUGAGCCCGCGUCUGAUUAGCUAGUUGGUGGGGUAAAGGCCUACCAAGGCAUCGAUCAGUAGCUGGUCUGAGAGGAUGAUCAGCCACACUGGGACUGAGACACGGCCCAGACUCCUACGGGAGGCAGCAGUGGGGAAUUUUCCGCAAUGGGCGCAAGCCUGACGGAGCAACGCCGCGUGAGGGAUGAAGGCCUCUGGGCUGUAAACCUCUUUUCUCAAGGAAGAAGAACUGACGGUACUUGAGGAAUAAGCCACGGCUAAUUCCGUGCCAGCAGCCGCGGUAAUACGGGAGUGGCAAGCGUUAUCCGGAAUUAUUGGGCGUAAAGCGUCCGCAGGCGGCCUUGAAAGUCUGUCGUUAAAGCGUGGAGCUUAACUCCAUUUCGGCGGUGGAAACUACAAGGCUUGAGUGUGGUAGGGGCAGAGGGAAUUCCCGGUGUAGCGGUGAAAUGCGUAGAUAUCGGGAAGAACACCAGUGGCGAAGGCGCUCUGCUGGGCCAUAACUGACGCUCAUGGACGAAAGCUAGGGGAGCGAAAAAGAUUAGAUACCCCUGUAGUCCUAGCCGUAAACGAUGAACACUAGGUGUCGGGGGAAUCGACCCCCUCGGUGUCGUAGCUAACGCGUUAAGUGUUCCGCCUGGGGAGUACGCACGCAAGUGUGAAACUCAAAGGAAUUGACGGGGGCCCGCACAAGCGGUGGAGUAUGUGGUUUAAUUCGAUGCAACGCGAAGAACCUUACCAGGGUUUGACAUCCUGCGAAUCCCUUGGAAACUUGGGAGUGCCUUCGGGAGCGCAGAGACAGGUGGUGCAUGGCUGUCGUCAGCUCGUGUCGUGAGAUGCUGGGUUAAGUCCCGCAACGAGCGCAACCCACGUCUUUAGUUGCCAGCAUUUAGUUGGGCACUCUAGAGAGACCGCCGGUGAUAAACCGGAGGAAGGUGUGGAUGACGUCAAGUCAUCAUGCCCCUUACAUCCUGGGCUACACACGUACUACAAUGCUACGGACAAAGGGUUGCAAACUCGCGAGAGCUAGCUAAUCCCAUAAACCGUGGCUCAGUUCAGAUCGUAGGCUGCAACUCGCCUACGUGAAGGAGGAAUCGCUAGUAAUCGCAGGUCAGCAUACUGCGGUGAAUACGUUCCCGGGCCUUGCACUCACCGCCCGUCA
rnacentral:rRNA from 1 species